GCAGGACAGUGUGUGGUCCGAGGAGGGACUCUGUGGCUCCUUUUUAAUCUUAGCAGGAGGACUGUGAAAAGCUACUGUGGGAGAGAAAUGAAAGACCAAGUUGACACUUCCCAUGGAAGUGGUUGA